rnacentral:tRNA from 3 species
GUUUUAAGCUUGUAAUUUUGAAAUUUGCGCCUGGAAAGCGUGUAUAGGGGCAACUCUAUCAGGGGUUCAAAUCCCCUUCUCUCCGCCA